rnacentral:misc_RNA from 1 species
UCCCUAAAAAAGGGCAGUCUCGUCUGACACGUAUAACAGACGACAAGGGUUGCGUUCGUUGCCCGACUUAACGGUACAAUUCAAACCACGAACUGGCGACGGCCAUGCAUCACCUGUCUGCGAGCCCGAAGGCCCCACUCGUUUCUGAGUGAGUUCCCGUAGAUUUCUAGUCCUAGUGAGGUUCUUCGUUUAGCUACGAAUUAAGCCACAUGAUCCACCGCUUGUGCGAGUCCCCGUCUAUUCCUUUGAGUUUUAAGCUUGCGCUCGUACUACCCAGGCGCUUGACUUAUCGCGUUAGCUUCGCCUCGGAGAGGGUCGAUACUCCCCAAAGCUAGUCAAGAUCGUUUAGGGCGUGGACUAC